GAACGAAGCACUUUGAUCGAUUUCUUCGGAUUGAAAUUUUAGUGACUGAGUGGCGGACGGGUGAGUAACGCGUGGGUAACCUGCCUCACACAGGGGGAUAACAGUUGGAAACGGCUGCUAAUACCGCAUAAGCGCACAGUACCGCAUGGUACAGUGUGAAAAACUCCGGUGGUGUGAGAUGGACCCGCGUCUGAUUAGCUAGUUGGCAGGGCAACGGCCUACCAAGGCGACGAUCAGUAGCCGACCUGAGAGGGUGACCGGCCACAUUGGGACUGAGACACGGCCCAAACUCCUACGGGAGGCAGCAGUGGGGAAUAUUGCACAAUGGGGGAAACCCUGAUGCAGCGACGCCGCGUGAGCGAAGAAGUAUUUCGGUAUGUAAAGCUCUAUCAGCAGGGAAGAAGAAAUGACGGUACCUGACUAAGAAGCACCGGCUAAAUACGUGCCAGCAGCCGCGGUAAUACGUAUGGUGCAAGCGUUAUCCGGAUUUACUGGGUGUAAAGGGAGCGCAGGCGGAAGGCUAAGUCUGAUGUGAAAGCCCGGGGCUCAACCCCGGUACUGCAUUGGAAACUGGUCAUCUAGAGUGUCGGAGGGGUAAGUGGAAUUCCUAGUGUAGCGGUGAAAUGCGUAGAUAUUAGGAGGAACACCAGUGGCGAAGGCGGCUUACUGGAC
rnacentral:rRNA from 1 species